GACGAACGCUGGCGGCGCGCCUAACACAUGCAAGUCGAACGGAGUCAAGAGGAGCUUGCUUUUCUUGACUUAGUGGCGAACGGGUGAGUAACGCGUGAGUAACCUGCCCUGGAGUGGGGGACAACAGUUGGAAACGACUGCUAAUACCGCAUAAGCCCACGGAUCCGCAUGGAUCUGCGGGAAAAGGAUUUAUUCGCUUCAGGAUGGACUCGCGUCCAAUUAGCUAGUUGGUGAGGUAACGGCCCACCAAGGCGACGAUUGGUAGCCGGACUGAGAGGUUGAACGGCCACAUUGGGACUGAGACACGGCCCAGACUCCUACGGGAGGCAGCAGUGGGGGAUAUUGCACAAUGGGGGGAACCCUGAUGCAGCGACGCCGCGUGGAGGAAGAAGGUUUUCGGAUUGUAAACUCCUGUCGUUAGGGACGAUAAUGACGGUACCUAACAAGAAAGCACCGGCUAACUACGUG
rnacentral:rRNA from 1 species